rnacentral:lncRNA from 1 species
AGGGCAGCCGAUGGAGAGCAGAUCUGAGCACCCAGCCACCUUCACGCCACCGCCCAGCUGCCCAGGAGCCCAGCCAGGACUGGCCAUACUGCCACCGCACACGUGCACACACGCCAACAGGCACCUGCCAUGCUGGCAUCUCUAUAAGGGCUCCAGUCCAGAGACCCUGGGCCAUUGAACUUGCUCCUCAGGCAGAGGCUGAGUCCGCACAUCACCUCCAGGCCCUCAGAACACCUGCCCCGGCCCCACCAUGCUCAUGGCGUCCACCACUUCCGG